UGGUUCUCGCAUCGAUGAAGAACGCAGCGAAAUGCGAUAAGUAAUGUGAAUUGUAGAAUUCAGUGAAUCAUCGAAUCUUUGAACGCACCUUGCACUCCUUGGUAUUCCGAGGAGUAUGCCUGUUCGAGUGUCAUGAAACUCUCAAACCGCAUCUUUGUUGAUGUCGGGCUUGGAUUUGGGCGUUGCAGGGCGUGAGUCCGGCUCGUCUCGAAAACAUUAGCUGGCGAUUUCGAUUUCAGUUAAACCGUGUGAUAAUACAUCUACGCGGGCAGCCUCAAAGGCGCUGGGUCAUCACUCAAAGGCUUCCAAUCGUCCUCUGCCGGGGACUGCCUUCGGGCAAAUUCAUUUCACAUCUGGCCUCGAAUCAGGUAGGACUACCCGCUGA
rnacentral:misc_RNA from 1 species